rnacentral:rRNA from 1 species
UACGUAGGGUGCAAGCGUUGUCCGGAAUUAUUGGGCGUAAAGCGCUCGUAGGCGGUUUGUCGCGUCUGCUGUGAAAACCCGAGGCUCAACCUCGGGCCUGCAGUGGGUACGGGCAGGCUAGAGUGCGGUAGGGGAGAGUGGAAUUCCUGGUGUAGCGGUGGAAUGCGCAGAUAUCAGGAGGAACACCAAAGGCGAAGGCAGUGUGCUGGGGAGUACCUGACGCUCAGGUGCGAAAGCGAGGGGAGCAAACGGG